UACGAAGGGUGCAAGCGUUACUCGGAAUUACUGGGCGUAAAGCGUGCGCAGGCGGUUCGUUGUGUCGGCGGUGAAAGCCCCGGGCUUAACCUGGGAACGGCCGUUGAAACUGGCGAACUGGAGUGUGGCAGAGGGGGGUGGAAUUCCGCGUGUAGCAGUGAAAUGCGUAGAGAUGCGGAGGAACACCGAUGGCGAAGGCAGCCCCCUGGGCUAACACUGACGCUCAGGCACGAAAGCGUGGGGAGCAAACAGG
rnacentral:rRNA from 1 species